GGCACCAUGGCUUAGUGGUAGAGUGCUUGCCUAGCAUGCAUGAUGCCCUGGGUUCGAUUCCUCAGUAUCACCU
rfam:Dipodomys ordii contig_13881, whole genome shotgun sequence.